rnacentral:rRNA from 1 species
GCUGGCGGUGCGCCUUAUGCAUGCAAGUCGAGCGAAGCUUUUCAGUAGUUUACUACAGAAAAUGACUGAGCGGCGAACGGGUGAGUAACGCGUGAGCAAUCUACCUUAGUUACUGGGAUAGCCCGAGGAAACUCGGAUUAAUACCGGAUAAUCUUAUUACAUCACAUGAUAUUUUAAGUAAAGGUCAGCCGAACUAAGAUGAGCUCGCGUUCUAUCAGCUUGUUGGUGGGGUAAAAGCCUACCAAGGCUACGACGGAUAGCUGGUCUGAGAGGACGAUCAGCCACACUGGGACUGAGACACGGCCCAGACUCCUACGGGAGGCUGCAGCAGGGAAUAUUGCGCAAUGAGCGAAAGCUUGACGCAGCGACACCGCGUGUGGGAUGACGGUUCUAGGAUUGUAAACCACUUUCAGGAGGGAAGAAAAUGACGGUACCUCCACAAGAAGCCCCGGCCAACUACGUGCCAGCAGCCGCGGUAAUACGUAGGGGGCGAGCGUUGUCCGGAUUUAUUGGGCGUAAAGAGCUCGUAGGCGGUUCAACAAGUCGGUCGUGAAAGUUCAGGGCUUAACCCUGAAAUGUCGAUCGAUACUGUUGUGACUAGGAUAUGGUAGAGGUGAGUGGAAUUCCGAGUGUAGCGGUGAAAUGCGUAGAUAUUCGGAGGAACACCAAUAGCGAAGGCAGCUCACUGGACCACUAUCGACGCUGAGGAGCGAAAGCUAGGGGAGCAAACAGGAUUAGAUACCCUGGUAGUCCUAGCUGUAAACGAUGGAUACUAGAUGUAGGAAUUGGAUUGACGAUUUCUGUAUCGUAGCUAACGCGUUAAGUAUCCCGCCUGGGGAGUACGGU